GGGGAAGGCGCUGCGAGGCGGCGUGGGGCGGCCCGGCGCCGUCCGCGCGGAGCUGAACGCGGGAGCGGAGCCUCCGCACGCCUGUGGGACAGCGCGUCCGUCCUCCAGGGAUCUCACACGCCGUGCCCCUUUACUUUGCGCUAAGGGGAAAUUUCCAUCGCGGUGGAUCCAGGCGCUGAUGGAUGAGGGACGUGCGGGCCAAGCGCUGUGCUGAAGGACAGGAGAGCCCUGAGGUACCACAGCGCGUCUGCAUGGGGCACAGGGAGGCGCGGUGGCAAACUGUGUGUCUCCUGCUGUACCCAGUGCCUUGUGUUCAGGGUGAGCUGUCAUAGAAGUCAAACAGAAUGAUAUGUUUUAGUUACAGAGAUGUCAAAGCCUGCAGACACCUACUUGAUAGGACAAGAGGUAAUGACCUUAAGUUGUUCCAGGGGAGAUUCAGGGUGGAUAUUAGGAACAACUUCUCAGAAAGAGCGGUCAGGCUGGAAAAGACCUCUGAGGUCAUCCUGUCCAACCUCAACCCAUCACCCUGUGCCUGCUGACCACAUCCCUCAGUACCACAUCUUCAUGGUUCUUGAACACCUCCAGGGACAGUGACCCCACCACCUCCCUGGGCAGCCUAUGCCAGUGCUCUUUCUGAGAAGAAAUAUUUCCUAAUACUGAACCUGAACCUCUCCUGGUGCAGCUUAAGGCCAAUAACUGUUGCCCUGAGUGCUUCUGUUCAGAGCAUAACACCCUGCGAAGAGUUCAUGCAGCCACAGGCACCUCAGGUCUGCUCUAUCCCCCUUCAGGCCCGUUCUCUUCCUCUUGUCAAUCAGAGUUGGAACUAGGUGAUCUCUGAGGUCCCUUCCAAGCCAAGCCCUUCUGCAGUUCUGCACAGUUGUGUCACUAGAUGGCCUUCCAGACUGAACACAGCGCAACUGUGCUCCUCAUGUCUGGGAAUAACUUCUUUCAAGGAAGGCCCUGCUUUGUGUGCAGGGCAAGCAGAAAGAAAAAAAGUGUUUCAGUGAUAGAGGGAGGACAGGCAUGCAAAAUGUCAUAUACUUCAAAUAAAGAAGGAAAAAAAAAAAGGUAGCCAAUCUCACAUCUGUUUAAAGCUAACCAUUUUACUGAGGAAAUACUUGACAUGAGCAUGUAGGAUACACAAAAAGAUCCUGUAUGAACCAUCAUCUUUAAUAUCUGAUCUGCAAGAUAGCAAAAGCUGUCAGCUCCACAAGGUUGCAGGGGCUGAGGGCAUUCAAGUAUUGCAUAACAAUAAAUGGUCCAAAAGUGAUUUGUUUUACACUGAAACAAUUCUUUUGAACUUGGCUCGAAACGAAUGGCAUACUAUGGUGUGAUCAACAAAUAGACUUGCUAGUUUUCCUGUAAUUACACAGCAUUUCAGUGUCUCUGAUGCUUAUUUUUAAUUAAUGGGUUUGCAGUUCUUCAGACAUAAAAAGUGCCAUGCAAAAGCGGUGUAUUUUGCUGACUGAAAAGUAAAAUCUAAUAUGGAAUUCUGCCACUGAUUUAAAUGGACAAAAAUGCAACCCUCUAUUAGUGAAAUUCAAAUCUAAUCACUAUUAAUUGCAAGUGUACUUCUCCGGUUUUGGCCUAUACAUCAAUUUUGGCACAAGUUCUGUGUCAUCAAAAGCUUACACAUCUGCAGUCUUAGGAGUGUGUACAGUGAGCGCACCAAAAUCAGAGUUGCAAUGGGGUAUGGUAAAUAUCUGUGUUCCAUUACUGUCACUUAUUUGGUGCUUCACAGUUGCUGAGAAAAAUAAUAGGAAGGGGAGAAAGGUAAGCACACUGCCUAGGAAAACUGCUGGAAGCAUAUGGUUUUUGAAAGAUGCUUUAAGAGUUUAGAUGGCCUUUAUGGGUGAUUUGGGUUAGUUUUCAGGAAAAAGACUCUCCGUUUGGUUUAAUAUUGAAGCUAUAACCAUUUAGAUACAGUGUGAUGAAAUUCCUCAAAAUACCACUCAACGAAAAGUGUUCCAAUCUCCUGGGCAGUUUGGUUGUUUUCACGUAGGAACAUCAGGUGUGCCAUUAGCCUGACCUCCUAAGGGAGCAAUACCAAUGUGCUCACGUUAUGGCUCUCUGUCCUUCACAAUGUGCUUAAAAAAGAUAACAGAUAUAAUACUACUAAAGGUCUUCGAGUUUUGCAACUACAGAGAAUUAAGUAGGGGAAGAGAAGCGUAAUGCUAAAUUGUGCAAAAUGGUAACAAAAACUGUUAUUAAUAGUAAAUAUGUUAAUGGGUUUGACAAAAUAUUCUGGAUAAUUACAUUUUUUCAAUUAAAGGAACUCUUAAUGCUGUUAAAGUUAUGAGUUUCCAAUCACUUAAGCUGUGUCACAGUGCGUGCUCUUAGGCUGAUAUGUGUGCCUUGCAGUAAUAUUUUUAAUGGAAAAUAUGACUAUUUUAGCUAGCCAGCAAAGUGUCAGACUGAUGGUACUUCCUUGUAGCUACAACUGCAGAGAGCAGCAGCAGCAAACGCCAUCUGCUGUAUGCUCACGCUAUUAGCUUAUAUGGUACUAUAAAUGAGACAAGAAUGGUUACCCACUUUUUCUAGAGUGUCUUUAAAAAUGAAACUCUUGAAAUACACUUAAGAAUUUUCUUCUUGAUAAUACAGACCCAAGCUUUACAGAGACUUAAAAUUUACAAUAAGUGCUCAAUUUAUGUCAAAGAAAUACUCAUAAACUUAGUUAAGAAUGUUCAUAAUGAGGUAAAGCCUUAAAUGCUUGUCUUCAAAGAUGAACAGUGAUACUUUGUGUUAUCAAUGACGAAUUCCCACUGAGCUAUAGCAUGUACAUAUAGAGCAAGACAUAAAGCCCCGAAGUGUUUACAGUCUCAAAAGGAAAGACAGACCCUACAGAAUGGGACUUAACAUGCAAGUAGAGUGAAUUUCCAGUAAAUGUCCAAUGUUAUAUAAAUGCCACAGUUGUUUGUAAUGCACAAAAUGUAAAGAAUAAUCUCAGUCCCAUAGAAUUUACUGUGUGAGCUGACAGGGCAGAUAGGGAAUGACGAACUAUAAUGUAGGAGAAGUCAACUGUGUGCCCUGCCCACACAAAGAAGUUAUUGGUGAAUAUCAGUGUAAGAGGAAAAUGCUGUGACAAAGUAAAGUACAUGCUCAAGGCAAUUCCAUUUAUUUACAGAAAAGCUGUAUGAAAUUGCUUUUUCAGUUGUGUUUUUGCUCACAGUCCUGAGCUUCUUUCGGCCCUCACUCAACACAGGAAAUCUCCAAAUCAAAGCUCCCACCCUCCUGGACUUUCAGCUGCUUCUCAGUAUCCAUUUCUGUAGUGCUACUUGCUGUUUCUCAUGCACAUGCAGAGCUCUACCAUCUGGUCCUUGUGGCCUGAUAUUUUACACACACACUCCCGCCCCCAAAAUCCAGAAAAAUCCCCUGGGCCACAUGAUUCACCAUCUAUUCAGACCUUGCCAUGUGCCUGGUUUUUGUGUAGUAGCUGCUACUGAUGCAAAUCCCUUGUUUCAGGAGGGAUCUCAAUUGCCUUUUUCACUGAAGGCAAGGAGGCUGUGACACCUGCCAAUUGCUAAGGGGUUUAACCCAACCUAAAACAUUAUUGUAUUCUUGUUCGGCUCAGUGGGAACUGUAUAUUUUUUUUUCCAGUAAAAUGGCAUUAACUUUCUAGACUAUUAAGUAAUGUGGAAAAAUUAUAUUUCAAUAAGAAAAUUUCCUUUCUGCCUUUUCAUGCCUGAGGACUAGAAUUCCUGUUUUACUUGGCUUAAGUAGCCCAUGCAGUAAAUCACUGCAAAAAUCUUUCAAUAAACUCCACAUAAAACCUGUCCAAAUGCUACCAGAGAGUUCAGAGGGCUAUGAAAGAAAACAGGACAACUAUCUGCAAUGGGAGGUAUUGGCCAAGUUACACACACAACUCAUCAGAAGCAGAGAAUAUUCAGGUACUGUGAUACAGUUGGACUGAUUUUUGUCCAUAAACCACAGCUUGACUGCUACCUAGAGAGCAGCUAUUUAUAGGGAGUGCAUACUGUUUCAUGGGUAUUUCUCUGGUAUGCUUUAAAUCAGGGAUGCCAGCCAUGCGGGCCAAAUUUGGCUUACUUGACACAUGCAUGGCUAGUGUGCUGUAUUUUGAAUCUUACCUUUCAUUAAAACUUGAGUUCCUGGCUUUUCAUCAGUGGAAAAAUAAUCUUAAGAAUUUGAAAAGUAUAUAAAUCAACAUAGCAAUGUGUCAGCCUGGCACAGGAGGUGCUUAGGAGCAGGCUUAAGUCAUCUGGACUUCUCUGAAGCGUGAAUUCUCAUGCCAAAUUCAGUUGAAAACAAAAACGGGUAAAGCAAAGUUAAGAUCAUCCUAUGUGUUUCUGGAACAUCAAAGCGCAAUGACUAAUUUCUGAAAAGCAUGAAAUGAGCAAGUAUCUGCCAACACCAGCCUACCUCUGGCCCCACAGAUCUGUGUCUCCCAGAUGUGCUGCAUGGCUUCAUGGACGGAUGGUGAGGAAUUUGUCAACACUUGCUGGCAGAGCUAGGUGAUGCUGGAUCUCAUCCUCUACCUCUAUGCUAGAAAGCAAAUCUAGAAGGAUCCAACAUGCUUUGUCUUAGGCGAGAUCUGUGGUUGUGUGUGGUUGGUUUCACCAUGGGAACUGUCAAAAGAAGCAGGUUCAGGAGUGAUGUGCAGGCUUCCUCGUGGCCAUGUGAGCACUGAGGGCUCUGCUACAGAACUGCAUAAAAUUCAUCCGCUUCAGAUGCUUUUCUGUGUCCAUGUCUGCAGCAGAGAGUAGUCCGUCAGGAUGGAAAGGGACUGUAAAUGGCUUUCCUUGCUGGGUUAUGCUUGCCAAAAGGCAGUUAGUAGAUUCCAUCAAACCUGAAAUAGGUUCAGUUACGCUUUUUGGAGAGGAUUUUGAGAACCACAUGUUUAGAUGAUGCUGGGUUUGGUUUGCUAAACAUGCCUUCCACUGUGUGAGGUAGGAUGAAACCUGAACAAUGCAAGUUUUUAGAGCUGUUAAUCAACACUUUAUUAGCGAUCCAUUAACCAUCACUCUCCUGGGCACGUGGCCUUGGCAGGAAGCUCUCCUAGCUUUUGGACAGAAAUGGGAGGAAACGGAGUAAAGAGGGGGAGAAAACAAUGAUAGUGUGUGAGCUGUGAGAGAGAAGGCUGUGAAUGAAAUAAAGGCAGGUGUUUGCUGUGUAUGGCACCAACAUCCAUGUGCCCAGUGUGUAUUCUCACACAUGGCUGGUACAGCCAUGGCUAGUACAAACUUCCUAGGGAGGACAGCAACCACCAACUGAAGAGGAGAUGGAAUGCUUUGCUCAUCUUCCACUGGGAGACACCAUAACUUCUGCCCACUGAGUGCUACACACACAGGGAGAGCUGAGCAGCUUUGCUUGUAUCUGGAUGGAAGCUCAUGUGUGGAGAACCAGAGAAGUUUGUGGCAUGUGUGAGCAUCCCUGGGCAAAGUACAGAGCAGCCUGAGCUAAGCUGAGAGCAGACCUCACAAAGAACCAGCAAAGCUCAGAGCAGGCUAGUGAGUAACUCAGGGCUGAGAAAUGAACUCAGUUCUAAUUAUGUCAUCCUAUCCUGCUGCCCCUGAUACCAUUUCCUGUGCAUUUCUCUCUUCCUACACAUGCUUCAUCCUUCCUGUCUUGUAUUGUCACAGCAGGCACACUGUGAAGCUCCCAGUUGCUUACUGGGAUUAACAUAGCAGCUCUGGUUUCUUAAGGCAGGCAGAUUCUAAUUAAACUUAGGGCGCACAUCAUACUCAAAAUGCCCCUUUGUGACACGCAGCUGAAGCUACUUGGAAAGUGUCAGUGCCCCCAGACCUUUAAUGAUCUUCAGUAUCAUGGCAGUAUAGGCUGUGUCUGUUCAAAGACUCCAGACAAAUGGAUGCAAAAACAGCAUCACUCUAAGUCAGAGAUCUAAGACGAAAUCUUCCAAGUAUGAAACAUAUCCAGAGGUGUGUCUGUCAAGUUUUUUAUUGGUUUGUCAUAGACAUGCACACAAAUAGCCUGUAGCAAACCCUUCCCACUGUAGGACUGUGUGGUGACCUCAGUUUCCUUUCAGGGCUCGAUUUUGGACUUGGGGAAAAGCAUGCUCAGUCCCAAGCCUCCAGGCUCACUGGGCCUGGACAGGUAAGGCAACAGCUGUACAGGCUUUGGUUCCUCUCCCCUACACUCCUAUAGAAAUGUGCCCCGUGAGUCUGCCUGGAGGAUCCAGAAAGAGGAACGCAGAAGUCCUUUCCACCCUCCCAACUCUUCUGGCACCUGGCAGCCAAUUGCACGUUAGGUGCUGAGACCAUCAGGUAUUUUUUCAUGUGGGCAUCUGAACGGUGGUGGGACUGCAGUCUCUUUUGGUCACAAUAACCCUGAAGAUGUUUGUGACAGCUUUUUACACCUCUAUGCAAUACAGAAGGAGUUUGUGAUAAUUUCAUGCCACAGGAACCACUCUUUAGAUGCUGAGAGCAGCAUCUUCCCAAACAGCUGACUGAUCUGCAGGGGAAAGACAAGCCAGUGUGCCAGGGAUGGAGCAAGUACUGCUCUGCAUCAGCUGCUCCUGGAGAAGAGGGGAAGAACAGCAGCAGUGGUGUUGUGGAUGGUGUGGAAACCAACUUCAGCUCAGGACUUGCAAUGGCUGCUUUCCUGAAGGUUAGAACAAAUGUACGGAAAAGGUAUUUGGAGUUAAGACUUGCCUUAAAAAAAAAAACACAGGAAAGCUAAAGCAAGUAUGAAAAUAAAUUAGAAAUGAGGGGCAGAUAAAAGCAGAACCUGCAGGAAUCAAAUCUAAACAAAAAGCAGGGGCUGGGCCGUCCAGUGAGAAAGCCACAAAUGGCAGGGGUUGAAAUGUAAAACCUACAGGCCACUGAGAAACAUGAAAGAUGCUGUUGUGUUCCACACCUCCUUUUCCCGGGUGUAGCUGUCUCCAUACAGUGAAGGGCAGUAAUGAAUCAAGCUCCUUUCCUCUCCUCCUGUGUUUUCUAUUCAAUUAUUCACAGGCUGUGCCAGUUCUGCUUUAUUUCUCCCCUCCAUAUGCUGCACUCUCCUCCUGGGGUUUUCUAUUCUGAGCUAUGCCUUUGGCCUCUCUCCCAUUUCUUUCUCCUCAGCAUGUGCCCCCUGCUCUGCUAUGAUCUGCUGCCUUUGUAACCUCUGCUGUGCACAUAUGCUGGCUCUCCCUCCUUUCCUUGGCUCCUGGUCCGUCGAGUGUCCCUUCGCUUCACACUGAUGUUUUUGCCAGGGGGUCAGCAGCCUGCCAGCAAAGAAACAAUUCUGCUAUGGCCACUGCUUGUGCUUUCACGCUGCCAGCUCCUCUCUGCCGAUCAAGGGGAAACCAUGCUGCUCCCCUUGCACAGCUGAUUGGUAGCAAAGGCAAGGAUGGCUCUGCAGCUGCUUAGCAACUGGGAGCUGCUGCUGUGCAGCCCCGCAGAAAGGCAAGGGACAGCGCAGCACUCGCUAAUUCUGCACGUUCUGGCCCACUCGGCUGAAAACCGCGGCUUAGUGGAGCAGCUGGGGCACUCCCAGCUGUCCUGACAAAAAUAAAUCAAGCUGAGGAUCCUUCACUGCAGAUACGGCAGCAACAGCAGCAGUGUCAAGGGCAAAACUAUCUUUCUUUUGUGCCAUAGGUUGUUUGCAUCGUGCCAGUUAGGAGAAAAUGCUCCAAUUUGUAAGCUAAACUCAUUCCAUUUGAUCUUUGUCAUCGCUUUUCAGGCUGUAACAUUUUAUGUUCCAUCACUUAUAAUGAGAACGUUCCCUCUGUGUGCUGCGUUUGCUCAAAAGGCUCACGGGUCUCCAGCUACCACCACUUUGAAGCUGUUUAAUGAUAGAUGUCCAGGCAGAUAGGUAUUUUAAUGCAUAAAUAUCCUUUCAGAUUACUUAACUCUAUAUUCAUGUCCUUUUGAUGCAAGUCCAGUGAAUGUCAGAUAUGUCCAGCAAUCUGACAGCUUUAGAAUGUUGAUUAGAAUUGCCAACCUUCUUGAUUUAAUGAUUUUUUAAGCCUGAAAGUACUGUAAACAAUAACGAGUUGUACAUGCUGAUGGGAUCACAGCAUUUCAAUGGUAGCUCCAUUUCAAUGGCAAGCAGCAACACAAAACAUGCUGUAAUUCAGAUGUUGAAACAGCUUCUUUAUUCUUUAAAAGCUCAAGAAUGAUUAGAUCUCUGAAAGCACAAGCUACCUUUCUUACAGAGGUGGCUUUGUCAUAAUACUACCAGAAAUAAAAUGAACAGAUGUAGUUUAAAAGGAAAAGAAAAAAGCCAGCCCUGGCAAAUGCCCAACAUGUCCAUCAAAACUUGUAUAGAUCUUAAACAAAAGAAAUGUUUGUUCCCCUGUUGCAUAUGAAGGUAUCUCUCUUUGUACUCAGGCACGAACACCCAGCAGAAUGGUGGUUCCCCAUCAUUAUGCAGCACACACAGCCCAUGUGCAUACAGCCCAUGCAUCUGCAGAGCAUGCUGAAACACAGGUAAAAUCCGUCAGGAGGUGCAUAUUUUGACAGAGAAAUUCCUUACCUGUAUGAUGUGCCAUACUUAGGAAAAGGUUAAAAAUAGGAAAGGAAAGAAGAAAAAAAAAAAACAAGCCAAAAAACCCUGAACAGGCAAAUGCCCAAUGCGUAUUCCAGCUCAAUAGUCCUUUGGUAUUUUUAGCCUGGUUUCCUAAAAGUUCUCUGUCAUUUUUUCCCUCCUUCCUCCAACCUCAGUCAAAUUUGACGGUGGGGAAGAAAUCCCAAACAUUUUAGGUCUGGAAGGAAUAGCUGAGCAGAGUAUGCAGCAGAGGCAGCACCGUGCCCUGGUGGAAAGGCGGGUAGUCUCAGCUCCCCCCAGGGGCAGUGAUGUCCCCUUGCCCAGCCAAACAGGGAAAGAACUGGAAGGAGUCUGCAGGGAUUUGUCUGCAAAUCCACAGGAGAGGCAGCUUUGUGAGUUCAGCUGCUGAGAGAGAAACUGAAGUUAAGUGAUAAAUGCAAGUAUCACUAGUAGGUAACAUCUAGAAGAGAGCUGUACUUCAACCCUUGUGAAGCAUCUACACGAUUAUGAGAAUAUAAAAUCAAGACAACAUAAUCACAUGGAAUAAAAUCCAUCCAGUAGGAAUAUCUCAAAGUGCAGUCGUCAUUGCUGCAUUGUAGAACUGUUAUCUCUCUUUUAUGGGUGCUGUAACUACCUGGUUUGGGUCCCACACUAUUUAAUGGCUCUGUCUGAUACAGAGAAGGCACAUGUUUCAGUGUGCCCCAUGGCUCCCUGCCAGCUCCUGCACUGGGCCUUAUUCCUAGGGAUGGGUGUGGUGGGAGAUGGCGUAGAUCAGAUCUCCUGACUCAGUGUUGACAAAACUGAGGCACGCACGCACCUGGAACCAGGACACUCCUACAGUAAAGGCAGAAAUGGUGUUUGUCAAUGAGCAGGAAGAAAACAUAAAGUAUUUAACAGUCAGGUCUGUGGGUGACCCAGAAGAACAACAGCAGGAUGUGUAAAUAAAGGCUGCUGCAAGCAGCGACACUGCCUAAGGACUGCCCUUAAGAGCCAAGUGUCAGGCUAUUCAGAGACAGAUGCAGUCCCACGGGAGGAGCAAGUUGGAUGGCAUUUUAGGAGCAGAGCAGGAAAACCAGCUGAGCACCGGGAGUAAUCCCUGGGUGCGUAACAGAAACCUCAGCACACUGCUGGCACGGGUGGGAUCUCUGCUGAACGCUCCGCCCUGCUCUGGAUGCCCUGAUCCAAAUGGUGAAAAACUGGAGACAGGGAAGCAAUGUUUAUAGGGGUGGUGAGUCUGGACCUGAGGGGGAGCUCUGCAAAUCUGCAAUGGGAGCAUUAAAUCUGUGGAUAUCAGCCUGUACACAGCUCCAUGGGACAAGGAUCUGGGACGGAGCAUUCGCUCGAGCAGACCGAGGUACAGCAGCGUCAGUAACGGAAAGCAGAAGCCAGGCAAAGCUCAGUUUAAAAGGUAUCUUAAUUCCAUCUACCAGGUAGAUUUUCAUGGAAACAGUCUGCCAAUUCUUACUUUACUCUCAGAGGCCAUUUUUAAAAUUACAACGAUGAUAUUUUCUCUAAGAUACAGGUAUGCUAUUGUUAAAUUCUCUCAAAUGAGAAAAAAGCAACACAUUCCCAAAUAUCUUACGACCUGCAUCAUGCAGGAAGUCAAACCAGACAAACCUAGGUCCCUUUUGUCCUUUAUAAUCUGCUAAUCUAGUCUGCUUGCACAAGCAGCAGAUUGUGACAUGCAGACCUUCAACAGAAAGGAUUCUGUGUACAAACCAGUCUGAAACAAAAUGUUGUAAACAGUCCCAGUCAUUGUUUGGCAGAGCGGCUGCAUAUUUGUUAUUUCACUUUGCCUCUCAAUCUAAUUUGCUUUAGUCACAGCACUUUGCCAAAGAAAUUAAACAACAUCUUAUUGAUAACAGGCACUAAAAUAAUUACCAUGAGUUUUUGACUCAACGACACAGGGGAGGGACGCUGCGGGUAAGAACAAACCCCACUGCAUUAAGAACGUGCAUGGAGUGACCACGGGCCAUUUGGAGGAAAAAAUCUUUGUUUCCUUUCCCCUGAAAGAGCUCUUUCUUUUCCUGAAGAGGCUCGGGCAGCAAACCAGGGUCAGCCUAACCCGAGGCUAGAAGUCUGCUCUGACCUCUGUGGGCUUUAAGCACGCUGUACCAGAACGCUUCUCUUUUCAAAUAGGAGGUUCAACCAUUAAACCACCCACUCCAGGGAGCACAACCGGUCUCAACCGCCUCGGUUGCUUUUCAACAACACUGAACAUUACAGUCAUUUAGAAACCCUACAAACGUACAGAAAUUUUCAGUUCAGACUUACAACAGCCAUUUCCAGAAGUGCUGAGGACCCACGCAGAGCCCUGGCUCUGCUUUACCCCGUGGGGUUUGGCCGGUGUGGGCCCUGGUGCGUGCUGGGGAGCAGCCGGGGGUUCCAGCACCGUCCAUGCGGUGAUGGAUUGCACACAGCAGCAGUCACGGUCCUGCGGAGACGUGCAGAGAGGUGCGAGUGCAGACAAAGCUGUCUGAGCUCCCACGGUAUUAUGGUCUGGCUGAAUUGUUUCGAAGCCUGUGCUGCGUUAGGCAGAGCUAGUUUGCUUCAGGGUUAAAGAGACCAAAAUUGAGGUUUAAAAUGCAGACGUUAAGAUCCAUAGAUCUAUUUAAACACCAGCUUAAAAUCCAGGGAAGCUCAUGGCUGGUGCUGUUUCAAUCAGCCAAUUCUUUAAUGGCUUUGCAUGCUGACAACUCAUGAUGAUGCAAGUGGCUGAAACACUGCAGCACAGCUCUAAAGAACCCUGCAAAACCCUGAGGACGGCUCAGCACCUCUCCGGCCAUGGCGUCCCGCUCCAGGAGGCGUCCCACGUUCCCAGAAACAGCAGAGGAGCACUGUAUCGCUGUUCGGAGCACUGUAUCGUUGUUUGCUUUAACCAACGCCGCGUCUCUUCCAUGUGAGGGCAGAAGGGGCUCCAGCAGCACUCCCAUCAUGGCUGCUGGCAGGGCAGGGUGCAGGGAUGGAGCCCAGCCUUGCAGUUUUUCCUUUUUUUUUUUUUUUUUUUGCUUUUUUUUUUUUUUUCCUUUGGAAAUGUGUUCUGUGUUGUGUGGACAACAGCUUCAAGACCAAAGAGGGGAUGGGGAUGAAAGGAAGAAGGAACAAGUAAAAAUAAAAAUUAAGAAACGAGCGUAACCUGACGUUGUUGCCACAGUACCUCCUUCGCAGGGCAGCUCGGCGCGGGUGUACCGACCCGGCAGCGCGACUGGACCCGGGCAGCACUUACCUCAUCCCUCCCACCGCUGGGCUGCAUGGCCUGGCCCAGGCACCCCUCUAGGUGGGCUUUGUGUGCCUUCCGCCCGCCGAAGCCGGGCUUUGCUAUCUGAUUUGAGGGAGCAGCUCAGCAGGACCCGGGGCUGAGGGCCGGGGAGGCCGCGGGGCUCCUCCCCGCCAUCCGAGGCCACGGGCGGGCGGAGGCAGCCGCCGCUCUGCCGCACCGGCGGUGGGGGGAGAAGGAGGAAAACAACGCAGAGCCAUGUGACGGCAGCGGGGAGCGCUCCCCCGGCACGUUGGCUCCAACUGCUCAUUAGCUUGCCUUCUUCCCCCCCACGCCCCCCAUUUUACAGUUGGGGUGGUGGUGUUUGUUCCUCUUUUUUUCCUCCCCCCUUUGCAUUUAGACUGUUUUCAGCCUUUGGUAUUUAUAAAACCGGCUGGGGGAAGGGAGGAAGGCUGAGGGGCGGGCUGCGUUAUUUAUAGGUGCCCAGCCCGCAGGAUGCGCGCUGCCUUUGUCCUCCCCCCACCCCCCCCCUGCCUGGAGCCCCGCCAGCCCCGCGCCGCCCGCUGCCGCAGGGCGCUCCCCGCCGCCGCCAUCUUGUGCGCCGCUCCCUGCUCUCUUUCUCCUUCCACAGCCCCUUACAAAACGAUGGGGGAAGGGGAAGGGAAAAAAAAAAAAAAAAGAGAGAAAGAAAAAGGAAAAAAAAAAGGGGGGGGGGGGGGAUAAAAAAGGCUGUUUCCCUGCAGUGAUCGGGACGCGGAGCGUCGGGAGGCAGUGGGGGAAACCAGCGCUAAGGAGAACACGGCGCUGAAGAAGAAGCCAUGAUGGCGGCCGCCCUCACACAACACCGAGCGCGACCCGGAGCGCCCUGCCAGCCACCAGCCGCCCUUCCCGGCGCACGGGACACGGUUUCUCCACAGGCUUUCACACAAUAAAAGCACCAGACUUCGGCGGGGAGGCCAUUUCGUGGGCUGGGUGGCCGCACUAAAGCACAAGCGCUGUGAAUUACCAGCUGCGUCACGGCUCUCUCCAACUGUAGCGCUCAGGCGGCAAAGGGUCCCUCACUUGGAAGGCAGCUCCCUCACUCCGGAUUUACUUCCAGACCUCAUUUUUUCCCCCUCUCUCCACCUCACUGCCUCGGUAUGAAGGAUUUUACAGUGCUUUUCAGUGAGACAUCCGCCAUUUCGACUCACCGCCCCCCCUUCCCUCUUGUUUGCUUUUUUUUUUUUCCUCCAUCUGCUGUAAUUAGAUGGAUAAACAUGUAAGGGAGCCCUACCACCGCCUUUUUGCCUCUUUUAAAACCAACUACAGUCCUCACAGUCUGCAGGCAGACAUUUUUUUCCCCCUUUUGUGCCUCUGCCAUGGAUUCACGGAACAAAAAAAAACCCCAAACCACCACACGCACACACACACAAAGAACAGUUCUGCAGACAACCACACAGAAAGAAAUCCCUCCUUGAAAACAGGACGUUCCUGAGGUCUUGUAGAUGUGUCUGAGGAGAAGGAGACCGCCAGGACGACCCUUAGGAUCCCUCGCCCAGGACAGUAACACGGGCCUGGUCCAUAUGUUCCUCUGAGGGCAGAAGGGUGUACUCACCACGCACAAUAGUUGAAUGCAGCUCUGAAGAUCGUGGUGGGAUGGUUACGGAGCUUUGUAUGGCUGUGGCUUAGCAUAAAAGAAACACCAAAAAACGAC